AUGUUUGAAGGUUAGUAUCAGGUAAAUUGUAAACUAUAUACUCAUUGUAUGUAUAUUUGAUGUUGAUAUAUGAUAGUCUAGAAGUUCAUAAGAAAUACAGAUUUAAAAUUUAAAAAAAUUUCAUAAUUUAUAAAUUUUAGGUUUAUCGGACAUAUACCUAAAAUUUUUAAAUAAUAUUUUAAAAUUUUAUAAUUUGAAAAAAUAAAUUUAUAUAUUAAUUAAUGAACUUACAAUUCAUAAACGAUGAAUCUACACCUUGUAUUUGAUGAGCCUAUAAGUAAUACUUAAUGAUCUUGUUGCUUACAACUAUAGUUAACAGUAAAACUUCAAUGAACCUAAUCAUACUAUUAAUGAACCUAUAAUGUAUGUUUAAUAAAUGCACAAUUUAGCACAUAUGAACAUGCAUAAUAGUAAAA
rnacentral:lncRNA from 1 species